rnacentral:rRNA from 1 species
AUUGAACGCUGGCGGCAUGCCUUACACAUGCAAGUCGAACGGCAGCACGGGAGCUUGCUCCUGGUGGCGAGUGGCGAACGGGUGAGUAAUGCAUCGGAACGUAUCCUGUAAUGGGGGAUAACGUAGCGAAAGUUACGCUAAUACCGCAUACGCUCGAGAGAGGAAAGUGGGGGAUCGCAAGACCUCACGUUAUAGGAGCGGCCGAUGUCCGAUUAGCUAGUUGGUGGGGUAAAGGCCUACCAAGGCGACGAUCGGUAGCUGGUCUGAGAGGAUGAUCAGCCACACUGGGACUGAGACACGGCCCAGACUCCUACGGGAGGCAGCAGUGGGGAAUUUUGGACAAUGGGCGAAAGCCUGAUCCAGCCAUGCCGCGUGCGGGAAGAAGGCCUUCGGGUUGUAA